AGAAUAUGUGUGUGUGUUUAGUAGAAAGACAAUCCUUUUUUCUUCCAGUCAAUUUUUUCUUUGAUCUACAGAACUUGCUUCUUUUCUCUGAAGUUUUCACAAUACAGCAUGAUAGAAGGAGCACAGAGUGCCAGAGGCAGGGAAUUCCUAUGCUUCACUAGUGACUCAUAAGAAAACUUAAUAGAAGGUCUCUACUGCCUGCUGGCCCUGCAGUACCUGAUUGAUGUGGUCCCAAACUAAAGUAGGCUAACCUUCAUUGAACCAAGCACUUCAGAGCCAUGGGAAGAAGUAUGGGGGAAGGAGUCCUUGUACUCUGGCAAUGAGGAAAACAAACAUUAACAGUGCAAGACACAGUGAGAGUCACAGAUCCAUGGAUGGACGAUCCUUUUGAGGACAAUAGAGGGGGAAUUUGGAUAAGUUUCCUGAGUGAGAAACCUUCCAGAUGGCAAUCUGAAAGUUAGCUGUUCCUUCUCAAAACACAGAGCUUUCUCAAGAGAAAGAUAACACCCUCUUUCAUCAGAGCGAGCGAGCUUUCUUCAUGGUGGCAAUUUCCAGUCUCCAGUGCAAGGAGGGGAAACUGAAGGAGAAUAAGGCGGUUACAUUCAGUUAGAGCCUGAGAGCAGAAUUUGGUUAGGCUGAAGCAGCUGGAAACUGUGGAAUGUAAUACCAGAGAGGAGACUGCCACACAAAGAACUCUAAAAAUUUUGAUUUUCAGCAAACCUUCAGAAGGCAAAAGGGAAAGUUUUCCCAUGGGCCAACGUGGAUAUGUUUCUGUAAUAGUCUGCUCAGCCUUCUACAACAAGAUGUCGCAGACUGGGUGACUUAAACCAGGGAUCCUCAAACCCUGGCAAUGGAUCGGUACGGGUCAGUGGCCUGUUAGGAAUCAGGCCACGUAGCAGGAGGACUUUGCUGGUUACUAGACAUUUCGAGCUGACCAAGGGAAUAAAAUGAAUCUUAUAUCAUCUUGUCACUGCUGCUGCUCCUGCCAUUGUACCCGAAGAACCUUGGAUAGCCAUGAUUUUAAUGGAAAACUGCCUUGGACACUGUGGCUGCUAGCUAUUAUUGUCUCUUCUCAUUUUCUUUUCCAUGCAACUUUGUGGUCCUCUCACAAAAAUACAGUUUGUACAUACU
ensembl:lncRNA LINC01241 long intergenic non-protein coding RNA 1241